rnacentral:pre_miRNA from 1 species
AUAGAUAUGAUGGAGCUCCUGUUCAGGCCAAAACAAGAAAGAAAGAAAGAUAUACAAUUAGAAGGGGAAUAGCAGCUGCUGAGUCAUGGAUACCCUUUAAUUUGGUUUCAAGCUAAUUAAUAAGCUGCUGCUGCUGCUGCUGCUGCUGCUAGCUAAGCUUAAUUGCAGGUUAAAAGGGUUUGCAUGAACCAGGAGAUGAUAUUUUUCUCCUUCUUCUUCUCUUAUUUGGUUUGAAGGGAGCUCUAUUUAUUUACUAA